rnacentral:rRNA from 1 species
UAGGGAAUAUUGGACAAUGGGUGAGAGCCUGAUCCAGCCAUGCCGCGUGCAGGAAGAAGGCGUUAUGCGUUGUAAACUGCUUUUGCCAGGGGAUAAAAUGAGCGUGCGCGCUUAAUUGAAGGUACCUGGUGAAUAAGCCACGGCUAACUACGUGCCAGCAGCCGCGGUAAUACGUAGGUGGCAAGCGUUGUCCGGAUUUAUUGGGUUUAAAGGGUGCGUAGGUGGCCCUGUAAGUCAGUGGUGAAAUAUCUCAGCUUAACUGAGAGGGUGCCAUUGAUACUGCAGGGCUUGAGUACAGAUGAGGUAGGCGGAAUUGACGGUGUAGCGGUGAAAUGCAUAGAUAUCGUCAAGAACACCGAUAGCGAAGGCAGCUUACCAAGCUGUAACUGACACUGAGGCACGAAAGUGUGGGGAUCAAACAGGAUUAGAUACCCCUGUAGUCCCUGAGCGGGCUGGCAAGGCGCAU